rnacentral:rRNA from 1 species
CCCCGUGAACCUUUACUAUAGCUUUGCACUGGACUUUGAGCUUGCUUGUGUAGGAUAGGUGGGAGGCUUUGAAGUGGGGACGCCAGUUCUCAUGGAGCCAUCCUUGAAAUACCACCCUGGCAACCUUGAGGUUCUAACUCAGGUCCGUUAUCCGGAUCGAGGACAGUGUAUGGUGGGUAGUUUGACUGGGGCGGUCUCCUCCCAAAGAGUAACGGAGGAGUACGAAGGUGCGCUCAGACCGGUCGGAAAUCGGUCGUAGAGUAUAAAGGCAAAAGCGCGCUUGACUGCGAGACACACACGUCGAGCAGGUACGAAAGUAGGUCUUAGUGAUCCGGUGGUUCUGUAUGGAAGGGCCAUCGCUCAACGGAUAAAAGGUACUCCGGGGAUAACAGGCUGAUACCGCCCAAGAGUUCAUAUCGACGGCGGUGUUUGGCACCUCGAUGUCGGCUCAUCUCAUCCUGGGGCUGUAGUCGGUCCCAAGGGUAUGGCUGUUCGCCAUUUAAAGUGGUACGCGAGCUGGGUUUAGAACGUCGUGAGACAGUUCGGUCCCUAUCUGCCGUGGGCGCUGGAGAAUUGAGGGGGGCUGCUCCUAGUACGAGAGGACCGGAGUGGACGCAUCACUGGUGUUCGGGUUGUCAUGCCAAUGGCAUUGCCCGGUAGCUAAAUGCGGAAGAGAUAAGUGCUGAAAGCAUCUAAGCACGAAACUUGCCCCGAGAUGAGUUCUCCCUGAGACUUUAAGUCUCCUGAAGGAACGUUAAAGACGAUGACGUUGAUAGGUCGGGUGUGUAAGCGUAGCGAUACGUUGAGCUAACCGAUACUAAUGAACCGUGAGGCUUAACC